CCAGCAGCCGCGGUAAUUCCAGCUCCAAGAGCGUAUAUUAAAGUUGUUGCAGUUAAAAAGCUCGUAGUUGGAUUUCUGGUACAAUGCGCCUGGCCCGCCAAGGUUACUUGUGUGAGUGCCGGUGCGCGUUUGCCAUCCUUCUAGAGAACGUUUCUACCCUUCGCUGGGCCGGACUCGCGAUCUAGAUCUUUUACUUUGAAAAAAUUAGAGUGUUUAAAGCAGGCUAUCGCUAUGAAUACAUUAGCAUGGAAUAAUAAUCUAGGACUUCGGUUCUAUUUUGUUGGUUUCUAGUACUGAAGUAAUGAUUGAUAGGGAUAGUUGGGGGUGCUAGUAUUGGCCGGCCAGAGGUGAAAUUCUUGGAUUCGGUCAAGA
rnacentral:rRNA from 1 species